rnacentral:rRNA from 1 species
UACAGAGGGUGCGAGCGUUGUCCGGAAUCACUGGGCGUAAAGGGCGCGUAGGCGGUCCGGUAAGCGCGUGGUGAAAGCUCGGGGCUCAACCCCGAGUCGGCCGUGCGAACUGCGGGACUGGAGCAGAUCAGAGGCAGGCGGAAUUCCGGGUGUAGCGGUGGAAUGCGUAGAGAUCCGGAAGAACACCGGUGGCGAAAGCGGCGCGCUGGACCACUACUGACGCUGAGGAACGAAAGGCUAGGGGAGCAAACCAGG